rfam:Schistosoma curassoni strain Dakar, Senegal genome assembly, scaffold: SCTD_contig0008408
AUCUAGCUGACGAGUCCGAAAUAGGACGAAACGCGCGUCCUGGAU